rnacentral:rRNA from 1 species
UACAGAGACCUCAAGCGUUAUCCGGAAUCAUUGGGCGUAAAGCGUGCCGAUAGGUGGUUUUACAAGUCAGAAGUGAAAUCUCAAGGCUUAACCUUGAGACUGUCUUUUGAAACCGUAAAACUUGAGGGGCAAAGAGGAAGCUGGAACGAACGGUGUAGUAGUGAAAUGCGUUGAUAUCGUUCGGAACACCAAUAGCGUAGGCAAGCUUCUGGGUGCCACCUGACACUGCUAGGACGAAAGCGUGGGGAGCGAAUGGG